rnacentral:rRNA from 1 species
GUUUUCCGUUUUUUAUCAAAAGAGAGCAGCCGCCCCCCAACAUACCAACAACAGAAGAGGGGGGGAUAUGGUCAAAAAAUAACAAAUCCGGGCAUUUUAAGUUUGGUAAUGGGAAGAGUACCAAUUUAAAUCCCUUAACGGGGAUCCAUGGGGGGCAAGUAUGGGGCCAGCAGCCGGGGUAAUUCCAGAUCCAAUACCGGGAAAUCAAAGGAUGUUGCAGUUUAAAAAAUUGGGAUUGGAAUUUCGGGUGGGUUUACACGGGCCCGCCCCAUGGUGAGGCAUUGUAUUGGCCUUUCCUUUUUGGUCGGGAACGGGGUUUUUGGGCUUAACCUCCCCGGGAACUGGGAUUGGAGGGGGUACCUUUCGGUUAAAUAAGAGUGUUCAAAGCAGGUUUACGCCCUGAUUACUUAAGCAUGGAAUAACCCGAUAGGACUCUGGCCUAUCUUGUUGGUCUGUAGGACUGGAGUAAUGAUUAAGAGGGACAGUCGGGGGCAUUCGUAUUUCAUUGUCAGAGGUGAAAUUCUUGGAUUUAUGAAAGACGAACUACUGCGAAAGCAUUUGCCAAGGAUGUUUUCAUUAAUCAAGAACGAAAGUUGGGGGCUCGAAGACGAUUAGAUACCGUCGUAGUCUCAACCAUAAACGAUGCCGACUAGGGAUUGGCGAAUGUUUUUUUAAUGACUUCGCCAGCACCUUAUGAGAAAUCAAAGUUUUUGGGUUCCGGGGGGAGUAUGGUCGCAAGGCUGAAACUUAAAGGAAUUGACGGAAGGGCACCACCAGGCGUGGAGCCUGCGGCUUAAUUUGACUCAACACGGGUAUAACAUAUAGCACAGCUACGCAGAGCACUAGCGAAGAAAGACUAGGAUAGAAAGGACUCUUCGCGUCUCCCUCCCCGCUA